GUUUGUGUUCAUUUGCUUAACCAACAUUUUUUGAGCACUGCAAGUGUCAGGCCCUGGGUUGGUGCUGAGAUCAUCUCUCGCCCUCUGGAGUUCACAGAAGGCAGUCAACAGCAAAUACAUAGCUGCAAACACAGACGACAGGCUCUCUGCUAGGGAUACGCAGCCUGGUUGGAACAUCUCCAGCACCGAGCACGGUGCCUGGGACACAGCGGGUGGUGGAAUCAGCUCUGAUCACCUUCAACUCUGAGUUGUGAGCCACGGGCAAUCCUAAAAUAGUAGUUUACACAAGUAAACAGUUUGUUUUCUCCUCCUGUGGUAGGCUGAAUAAUGGCCCUCAAAGUUGUCCUUGUCCUGAUUUUUGUAACCUGGGAAUAUGAUUCCUUAUAUGGCAAAAUGGACUUUACAGAUUAAACUAAGGCUCUUGAAAUGAGAGGAUUGUCUUAGAUUAUCCUCAUGCCCCUGAUGCAUCCUGAUUGUCCUGAUGCUCUCACAAGGGUCCUUAAAAGAAGGAUGCAGCAGGAGCCAGAGAGGAUAAGAGAUACAAUGAUGAAACCAGAGAUCGGAGGAAUGCACUCUGAAGAUAAAGGGAGAGGCCACAAGCUCCGGCACAAACGUGGCCACUAGAAAUCAAAAAAGUCAAAGAAAACGAUUCUUCUCUCAGAGGAAACAGAAGGAACCAGCUCUGCCCACACCUUGGUUUAACCCCAAAAAACUGAUUUUGCACUUCUGACCUCUAGAGCUGGGAGAGAUAAAUAUAUGUUGUUUUAAGCCACUAAGUUUGUGGUCAUUUGUUGCAGCAGCAGUAGGAAAUGAAGGCACCCGCCUAACACAAUAUCCAGAAGUAGGUGGCAGGAGGAAAGUGCAGCUGCUUGAGCAAGUUAUCCAGGAUCCAGCUCUUCCAGAUUCCUGCGGCACCAUCCUCCCCACGUGGCAUUCUUCCUCAUGAUUAUAAGAAUGCAGAUGUGAUGGUUGGAGCUCCAGCUGUUACAUUGGACUAUGAAGACCAGGGUCACCCCCUCUGGAUGGGAGAGUGUGAAGUUGGAAGAAGCUCAGGUCCCUGAGGAUUUUGUGGAGUAGAUCCAUAUCAGCGCAUACAGGCUACCUGCAGACAUUAAUUUUAUAUUGUGCUCCUGGAAGCUGAGACCAGUUCAAAUGGCUGCAAUCUUUCUGUCUACUGUGUAGAGAACAAAUAUUGGAGGGACAGGAGUGAAAACAGGAAUAAUCUCUAUUUUGUAAAUAGGAACCCUGAGGCCUGAAGAAGUUGAAUGAAGUAUAUUAGGGUUGCAGGUAAAAGCACUGGCUUAGUAAACCUGUCUGUAUUUAAAUCCUGCCUCCAAUACUUUCUAACCUUGUAACCUUGGGCAAUUUCUUAGCCUCUGUAAGCCUGAUUUCCUCAUCUGCGAUGAUAACAAUGCCUAUCUCAGACUAGGAUUGUGCUAUUAAAUAAAAUAAACCAUGAAAAGACCUAACACAGCCUGGUGGGGUUCACAUUUCUCACUUGCUGGUUCCCUGCUCCUCCUUCGUGUCUUCACCAGACCCUUUCCCACCUCUUGCAUCAGCUUAGGAAAUGGUGAUCCUUCCAAGUGGGGUGAACAACACACUCAAGAGGAAAUCCUUUUGUUAGGAAGGAAGGGCAAAAAGAGGGAGAGAAGGGAGAAAGAAGGAAGCCUUAGCACUUGAAUGGACGUGAUGAACUUUCAAGUACCCAGAAAUUCCAGCUCACAAGAGACAAAUGUCACUAGUGAGCCUGGCGUACUGAAGGAUCUAAGAAAAGAAGGCCAGAAGUUCAUCCUUCAGCCUCCAAGCUGUUCCAUUGCCAAUCCCCUUCUUUUUUUCUCCGCGUCUCUAUCACCUCUUCUCUUUCCUCUUCCAAAACAAAAAUAGGAAGUGUGAAAAGCUCAGUAAGUCAUCUGGUUUUCAGGCUGCUUUUCCUUGGAGUGGCUAAAACUGUGUUUUAUUGGCUUGGCAGGAUGUUUUGAGAUUGUGUGGCGAGGACUCUUCUGUGUGUGUGCCCAUGUGUACGUAUGUGUGUCUGCCUGUGUGUGAGUGUGUCCGCACGCAUGUGCUUGUUUAUCUAAGUACUGGGCUUUGGAAUGCAAAGCAGCACAUACAUGUUUCCUUUGUGGUAGCAGAUUCUCUUCCUAAUUAUGUUUUGCUCAGACUAAUAUUAAAAUGAAUUGGUUUCCUCUGACAACAAUAAGUGUAAUCAUAACAGGAAAUGGUCCGGAAUCACACAGUAACAAAAAUAGAGCCAGAGAGGAAGCAACAAGACUCUUGAGAACAUUUGGCUGAUCUACUUUUCCAUUCCAUUUCGUCCAUGUAGUCAUCCCUUCAUUGAUUCAGAAAACUCUGCUUAUCACUGGUGAGACAAAUGGGAAGCCUGAAAAAAAUUCAACUUCUUCUCUUAAUUAGAAAUUUGUGAACCACUAAAUACAAAAGUUAGAAAAAAAAUGCAUGUCAGCUUCUGUAUAAAGAUUGGCCUGUAUUUUACCCAAUACCACUCUUUUGUAAGAAGGCUUAAGUCAUUAACUAUCUUACACAUCAAAGAAUCUGAUAAGUUCUGCAGUAAAA